rnacentral:lncRNA from 1 species
GAAGAGAGUUCCAUUUUUUGAAAAAUUCAGAUUCAGAUUGGUAUACCGGAUUUUGCUUUGCGGAGCUGCUGCCAAUUUCUGAAUCGUUAACAUAGCCUCUGUUUGAUUUUCUCUUCUUCAAACUUACUUCUAGAGAAAUGAGCUAAUCUUCCUUGCAAAUAGCUGUUGAAAUCUGGAAAUUAUCGCUGCUGUUGCUGAAUCUCUCAAUCGGCUCUGGAUAUGCUGGUUGCUUACUGAUCUUGGAUAUGCUGGAAGCUGAGCUCCAUUAUUCCCUUGUUUCCUGAUUUGUUACCUUUAAUUCUGUCAUAAACAAGGUAUUUUUUUUGCCUUUUCUCACACAUAUGUAAUAGUUAAUUUGUGAAUGCAAAAUGUGCUUUACUCAAGGGUCUAUGUGCGUAGAUCACGGUUCUUGUUCGUGAAAACAAACGAUUAUUGAGAUUUAAGUGCUUUACUGUUUGAAAAUGCCAUGAGCUUGUUUGAGUGUUUCUCUUUUGGAUCUGUUUUGUCGAUUUGAGGCAUAGGUUGAACAGUAUUAUUUUGGUCAUUGAUGUCAUCUUGUUCAUGGGUUAUUUUGUGUGAAUUAUCGCUACUCAAUUGUUGUUCGUUAAUCGAUCUAAAGAUGAGAUUAUUGAUUGGAUUGGCAUCGUCGAGCUAGUAGGUUAAAAGUGGUCAUUUGCUAGUUUCUGCUGAUUUCUGGGUUCAUUGAGUUUUGUUUUCAUACUUUCAUACCUUUAUUUGGUCAUUGAUUGUUGUGUUCUGCACUUAAGUAUGUGAUUUCUCACGAGUUCUUCACUAUUUGAGUUUAUGAAUAUAGCUUUGUGCUAUCUGCAAAUAAGUUUUUGUUCAUAAAUGGGUUAAGAUUUCCGAUCGUUGUAUUGAUAAAUAUGAAAUGUUGCUUGGAUAUAGCUGAUAUGAUAUUUGGAAAUGUUGUUUGAGGAUUCUUAAUGAUCUAAAGAUUGGCAGUAAUAGUAUAUGUACAGUGUACUAGUACAAUGAGUAAGCAUUUGUACUGGAAUUUGAAUGCAUAUGCACUUUGGGUAAAUGGCCAAAUUUUGAUGUUUUCACACUUUUGAGGACUACUCUCGAGAUUGUGGAUAAAUUCAUUUGUUACUGCCAACAUUUUCAUUUAAUUCCA